UUGCUUUAUGUUUGAAGCUAUAUAGUAGUACUAGUUAAUAAAAUCUAAAGCUUGUAAAAGUAAUUAGUAAAAAAAUCUAUAACUUGAGUCAAAAGAAGAAAAGGUAAUAUCAAGAGUACUAUUGCAUUGGUAUAUUCCAGGAUGAAACUAUCAAAUACAUGGUCAUUUUUUUUUAAUUUUUUAUUUUGGGCAAAAUACAUGGUCAUUAUAUAAACUGAUAAACAAAUAUGCGAAGAAACUUGAGAUUUUGUAUGUAAAUUUUACAUGCAUGAAAGAGUAGCUAGUAAAUCACUCUCAGAUUGUUUCCACUAAAAUCUGAGUUUUCCCUUCGUAUAUCAUACAGCAAUAACUUUCGCACCAACUAAUUCG
rnacentral:lncRNA from 1 species